rnacentral:rRNA from 1 species
CAAUAGCGUAUAUUAAAGUUGUUGCAGUUAAAAAGCUCGUAGUUGGAUCUGUGGUGUGCGGUGGGCUCCGGGCACUUGUUGUCUGAGUAGCUCGCCGCUGCCAUCCUUGGGUGGAACCUGUGUGGCAUUAGGUUGUCGUGCAGGGGAUGCCCAUCGUUUACUGUGAAAAAAUUAGAGUGUUCAAAGCAGGCUUAUGCCGUUGAAUAUAUUAGCAUGGAAUAAUGAGAUAGGACUUUUUCGCUAUUUUGUUGGUUUGCGCGAAGAGGUAAUGAUCAAUAGGGACAGUUGGGGGUAUUCGUAUUCCAUUGUCAGAGGUGAAAUUCUUGGAUUUUUGGAAGACGAACUACUGCGAAAGCAUUUACCAAGGAUGUUUUCAUUAA